rnacentral:rRNA from 1 species
CUAAGCGUACACGGUGGAUGCCCUGGCAGUCAGAGGCGAUGAAGGACGUGCUAAUCUGCGAUAAGCGCCGGUAAGGUGAUAUGAACCGUUAUAACCGGCGAUUUCCGAAUGGGGAAACCCAGUGUGACUCGUCACACUAUCAUUAACUGAAUCCAUAGGUUAAUGAGGCGAACCGGGGGAACUGAAACAUUUAAGACCCCCGUGGAAAGGAAAUCAACCGAGAUUCCCCCA